rnacentral:misc_RNA from 1 species
GUAAUUUAUUACAUUGUUACUGACGCUGAUUGCUAUUGCAAAAGGUUUAUGAUUUGUCCUGAGGGCGGGCGAGCCCACCCAGGAAACAAGAAGUACGCAAAAGACACGGGUGAAUAAUUCAGCAAGGCCGGCCCAGCCGCGCACGCCGUGAAGCCAUGCACUGCCGGGGGUGUCCAGCCUGCCUGCAUAUUGUGUAAUGAUCCCUCCGCAGGUUCACCUACGGAGA